AAGAUUAUAGUUUAAAAAAAACAUUUGAUUUGCAUUCAAAAACUAUUAAAUUAAUUAAUUUAUCUUA
rnacentral:tRNA from 1 species